CAUGGGGACACUGAGACACUAGGGGAAACUGGGAGACGUGGGGACACAGACACUAGGGGACACUGUGAGACAUGGGGACGCUGAGACACAUGUGUCUCCAUGUCUCCCAGCCAGUGUCCCUAGUGUCUCAGUGUCCCCAUGUCUCCCAGUGUCUGUGUCCCUAUGUCUCUGUGU